UACGGAGGGUGCAAACGUUAUCCGGAAUCACUGGGCGUAAAGCGCAUGUAGGUGGCUGAGCAAGUACAUGAUUAAAGACCAAUGCUUAACAUUGGAUCGGUUGUGUAUACUACUCGGCUAGAGGAGAGCAGGGGUAAGCGGAACUUUAGGUGUAGGAGUGAAAUCCGUAGAUAUCUAAAGGAACACCAAUGGCGAAGGCAGCUUACUGGGCUCUAACUGACACUGAGAUGCGAAAGCGUGGGGAGCGAAUGGG
rnacentral:rRNA from 1 species